rnacentral:rRNA from 1 species
GAUGAACGCUGGCGGCGUGCUUAACACAUGCAAGUCGAACGAUGAAGCCCAGCUUGCUGGGUGGAUUAGUGGCGAACGGGUGAGUAACACGUGAGUAACCUGCCCUUAACUCUGGGAUAAGCCUGGGACACUGGGUCUAAUACCGGAUAGGAGCGUCCACCGCAUGGUGGGUGUUGGAAAGAUUUAUCGGUUUUGGAUGGACUCGCGGCCUAUCAGCUUGUUGGUGAGGUAAUGGCUCACCAAGGCGACGACGGGUAGCCGGCCUGAGAGGGUGACCGGCCACACUGGGACUGAGACACGGCCCAGACUCCUACGGGAGGCAGCAGUGGGGAAUAUUGCACAAUGGGCGGAAGCCUGAUGCAGCGACGCCGCGUGAGGGAUGACGGCCUUCGGGUUGUAAACCUCUUUCAGUAGGGAAGAAGCGAAAGUGACGGUACCUGCAGAAGAAGCACCGGCUAACUACGUG